CAGUCGCCGCGGUAAUACGUAGGGUGCAAGCGUUAUCCGGAAUUAUUGGGCGUAAAGAGCUCGUAGGCGGUCUGUCGCGUCUGCUGUGAAAACUGGGGGCUCAACCCCCAGCCUGCAGUGGGUACGGGCAGACUAGAGUGCGGUAGGGGAGAUUGGAACUCCUGGUGUAGCGGUGGAAUGCGCAGAUAUCAGGAAGAACACCGAUGGCGAAGGCAGAUCUCUGGGCCGUAACUGACGCUGAGGAGCGAAAGCAUGGGGAGCGAACAGGAUUAGAUACCCCUGUAGUCCCUGUCUCUUAUAC
rnacentral:rRNA from 1 species